GUACACUCCUGCGGGAGGCAGCAGUGGGGAAUUUUGGACAAUGGGCGAAAGCCUGAUCCAGCCAUGCCGCGUGCAGGAUGAAGGCCUUCGGGUUGUAAACUGCUUUUGUACGGAACGAAACGGCCUUUUCUAAUAAAGAGGGCUAAUGACGGUACCGUAAGAAUAAGCACCGGCUAACUACGUGCCAGCAGCCGCGGUAAUACGUAGGGUGCAAGCGUUAAUCGGAAUUACUGGGCGUAAAGCGUGCGCAGGCGGUUAUGUAAGACAGUUGUGAAAUCCCCGGGCUCAACCUGGGAACUGCAUCUGUGACUGCAUAGCUAGAGUACGGUAGAGGGGGAUGGAAUUCCGCGUGUAGCAGUGAAAUGCGUAGAUAUGCGGAGGAACACCGAUGGCGAAGGCAAUCCCCUGGACCUGUACUGACGCUCAUGCACGAAAGCGUGGGGAGCAAACAGGAUUAGAUACCCGGGUAGUCCCAUG
rnacentral:rRNA from 1 species